AUAAAUUUGGCAGAUAAAUGUAACAGACUUAGGAUCUGGGUAUGAGGAUUUAAGCUCCUUAGUUUAUA
rnacentral:tRNA from 1 species